rnacentral:rRNA from 1 species
AGUGAACGCUGGCGGUAGGCCUAACACAUGCAAGUCGAACGGCAGCACAGUAAGAGCUUGCUCUUACGGGUGGCGAGUGGCGGACGGGUGAGGAAUACAUCGGAAUCUACUUUUUCGUGGGGGAUAACGUAGGGAAACUUACGCUAAUACCGCAUACGACCUACGGGUGAAAGCAGGGGAUCUUCGGACCUUGCGCGAUUGAAUGAGCCGAUGUCGGAUUAGCUAGUUGGCGGGGUAAAGGCCCACCAAGGCGACGAUCCGUAGCUGGUCUGAGAGGAUGAUCGGCAACACGGGAACUGAGACACGGUCCAGACUCCUACGGGAGGCAGCAGUGGGGAAUAUUGGACAAUGGGCGCAAGCCUGAUCCAGCCAUACCGCGUGGGUGAAGAAGGCCUUCGGGUGGUAAAGCCCUUUUGUUGGGAAAGAAAGCAGCAGGUUAAUACCCCGCUGUUCUGACGGUACCCAAAGAAUAAGCACCGGCUAACUUCGUG